rnacentral:rRNA from 1 species
GACGAACGCUGGCGGCGUGCUUAACACAUGCAAGUCGAACGGAAAGGCCCUGCUUUUGUGGGGUGCUCGAGUGGCGAACGGGUGAGUAACACGUGAGUAACCUGCCCUUGACUUUGGGAUAACUUCAGGAAACUGGGGCUAAUACCGGAUAGGAGCUCCUGCUGCAUGGUGGGGGUUGGAAAGUUUCGGCGGUUGGGGAUGGACUCGCGGCUUAUCAGCUUGUUGGUGGGGUAGUGGCUUACCAAGGCUUUGACGGGUAGCCGGCCUGAGAGGGUGAACGGCGACAUUGGGACUGAGAUACGGCCCAGACGCCUACGGGAGGCAGCAGUGGGGAAUAUUGCACAAUGGGCGGAAGCCUGAUGCAGAAACGCCGCGAGCGGGAUGACGGCCUACGGGGUGUAAACCGAUUUCGCCUGUGAAGAAGAGUGAGUGACGGUAAUGGGUAAAGAAGCACCGGCUAACUACGUG